rnacentral:rRNA from 1 species
AACGAACGCUGGCGGCAGGCUUAACACAUGCAAGUCGAGCGCCCCGCUAGGGGAGGGGCAGACGGGCGAGUAACGCGUGGGAAUCUACCCAUCUCUACGGAAUAACGCAUGGAAACGUGUGCUAAUACCGUAUACGCCCUUCGGGAGAAGGAUUUAUCGGAGAAGGAGGAGCCCGCGUGGGAUUAGCUAGUAGGUGGGGGAAAGGCCUACCAAGGCGAGCAUCCCCAGAUGGUCUGGGAGGGUGAUCAGCCACUCUGGGCGUGAGACCCGGCCCAGACUCCUAGGGGCGGCAGCAGUGUGGAAUAUUGGACAAUGGGGGCAAGCCUGAUCCAGCCAUGCCGCUUGAGUGAUGAAGGCCCAAGGGUUGUAGAGCUCUUUCACCGGUGAAGAUAAUGACGGUAACCGGAGAAGAAGCCCCGGCUAACUUCGUGCCAGCCGCCGCCGUAACAC